CUAUAAAGUGGGAGUUUAUCUGUGUGUAAUUCAACCAUCAUGUUAGACUGAAGGAAUUGCAGUUAUCAUUAGAUUUCCCGACAGCACUGGACAAAUGACUUCUCACACUCAGUGUGACUUGAGACAAAGGAUAAACAAAGACAUUGAGUAUGUUUACAUGCACAUAAUAAGAGGACAAUUAUCUUAUUAUGAUAUUAUAAAAAUCAGCUUAUUACAUUAACAUGUUUCAAGCGUUUUAAUUUACUUUUAUUUGUGAAGUUUAUCUAUCACAGGUGGAGACAUACGCACAUACGAAACGGCAAAAAAGACUUUAAAAUCUGGUUUAAGAGCAAAAAAACUACCUGUGCCAAUCAGUUUUUGCCAUUUAUGGGCUUUACCCUAUAAAAGAAAACCAUUUUAUGCAUUUAAAUGACCUUACACGUUAUCAGUUUAUUAAGCGUUUAGACUAUGUAGACACACUCACUGUGCACUAAAAUUAAAAAAAAUUGGUUAACACGACCACUCGUGGUGGCUUCACUCAGAGGUUGGAGAAGACAACCGGUGGACUAAACAUCAAGCCUCUGCACGAUUCAGGUAAGUGGAAUAAAAUACAUUGUAAAUAAACAUUAUUAAAACAGAUUGUGAAGUCAUUCAUUCAAAACUUGCUAUGACCUAAGCCUAAAUGACUUAAUUUCUUUUUAGAAUUAAGACAACCUUAGCAGGAGAGCCCCAGCAGUAACUUUCUCUCAAGCAGAUGAGCAAUAAGUUGCUUUGUAUGAACACCACCCUAACAAUCAAGUAGCCUGUUAACAGUAGACCAAAGGUAUGAUGAUCAAUUAUAAAUGCAAUAUGGUUGAAAGGUCAGUAAACAAACAACAAAAAGCUUGACAAAAAUGUAGCUUGAAGGAGAAGGGACAGCUGAGUAACAAAGUCCUGGUAUGCAGACGACGAUACUAUUACACUGACAAGAGUGUAAUGAUGAUGGAGACACAAGCCAGAGAAAGGGGGACCAAACACCAGGCCAGAAUUCUGCAUGAGUCAGAUCCAGUGGGUGCAGAUCAUCAUACAGAUGGUUCAAGUGUGGAUCCACCUAAUAUUCAAGAUUUUCUGUCCUGGGACACUCGGCUAACCAUCAAGAAAGAACACACUCCAGUGGGCAUCCUUUAUCCAUCCAGACCCUCAUACAGAUGGUUGGAGUUUUGAUUCACCUAAAGUACCAUGCAAGAGCACUCAUUUUCCCUCUUGAGACCAUGGUGUGACCUGCAAGGUCGAAUGGAGACUGUAAGCGAGACAAUCUUGGAGUCACCUGCAUUCACUGGUCCAGUUGUUAGUCCAAUUACAGAUGGAGAUUAUAGAAGAGGAUGAUGUCUUUUCUCCAACAUCUUUCUAGACUGAUAAAAGAUCUAGACAGGCUUGAACAAAAGUUAACAGAGGGGCUUAUAUAGAGAAUGGUGAGCAGCUACACAUAAAAGAAGAACAUGGAGAAUCUGCCCAGAGGUGUUAACCAGCAAUGCAGCUAUACAACUAAAGUGAUGCAGGCGGAAACAAUGUGUGUAUGUUAUGUCCAAAUGUUGUUAUGUUCAAAUGUUUUACAAUAUACUUAAACA